rnacentral:rRNA from 1 species
UCCGACCUCAGAUCGAACGAGAAUACCCGCUGAAUUUAAGCAUAUUAAUAAGCGGAGGAAAAGAAACUAACGAGGAUUC